AGCGAACGUUAGCGGCGGGCCUAACACAUGCAAGACGAGCGAGAAAGUGGCUUCGGCCAUCAGUAAAGCGGCGGACGGGUGAGUAACACGUAGGUAAUCUUCCCUUGAGCGGGGGACAACGAGCCGAAAGGCUCGCUAAUACCGCAUACGUUUCUCGGGACUCUGGUCCUGGGAAGGAAAGCUAGGCAGCAAUGUCCGGCACUCGAGGAGGAGCCUGCGUCGCAUCAGCUAGUUGGUGGGGUAACGGCCUACCAAGGCGAAGACGCGUAGCUGGUAUGAGAGGAUGAUCAGCCACACUGGGACUGAGACACGGCCCAGACUCCUACGGGAGGCAGCAGUGGGGAAUAUUGGACAAUGGGCGCAAGCCUGAUCCAGCCACGCCGCGUGAGUGAUGAAGGCCUUCGGGUCGUAAAGCUCUGUGGGGAGGGACGAACCGCCGGAUGUGCAUAGCAUCCGGCAUGACGGUACCUCCUUAGCAAGCACCGGCUAACUUCGUGCCAGCCGCCGCCGUAAUAC
rnacentral:rRNA from 1 species